rnacentral:rRNA from 1 species
CCUACGGGGGGCAGCAGUGGGGAAUAUUGGACAAUGGGGGGAACCCUGAUCCAGCCAUGCCGCGUGUGUGAAGAAGGCCCUCGGGUUGUAGAGCACUUUCAGUGAGGAAGAACGCCUGGUGGUUAAUACCCAUCAGGAAAGACAUCACUCACAGAAGAAGCACCGGCUAACUCCGUGCCAGCAGCCGCGGUAAUACGGAGGGUGCGAGCGUUAAUCGGAAUUACUGGGCGUAAAGCGCGCGUAGGUGGCUUGAUAAGCCGGUUGUGAAAGCCCCGGGCUCAACCUGGGAACGGCAUCCGGAACUGUCAAGCUAGAGUGCAGGAGAGGAAGGUAGAAUUCCCGGUGUAGCGGUGAAAUGCGUAGAGAUCGGGAGGAAUACCAGUGGCGAAGGCGGCCUUCUGGACUGACACUGACACUGAGGUGCGAAAGCGUGGGUAGCAAACAGGAUUAGAUACCCGUGUAGUC